rnacentral:rRNA from 1 species
UACGGAGGAUGCAAGCGUUAUCCGGAAUGAUUGGGCGUAAAGCGUCCGCAGGUGGCAGUGUAAGUCUGCUGUCAAAGCGUCUGGCUCAACCAGAUAAAGGCAGUGGAAACUACAUAGCUAGAGUAAGGUAGGGGUAGAGGGAAUUCCUGGUGUAGCGGUGAAAUGCGCAGAUAUCAGGAGGAACACCUGCGGCGAAGGCGGGUUGCUGGGCUGAUACUGACGCUGAGGCGCGAAAGCUAGGGGAGCAAACGGG